CGAUAUGUAGCGUAUAUGUGUAUUCGAAGCUCGGCGCCUGACAAUACAAUCUGACACGCCGAGUACGCUCGCAGGCGAAAGGACGAAAAACGACGAGCACUGUAUAACGUAAACUCUUUCCACCACACGACGAAGGGGCAGUACUGAUCGCUGGCAAGUGGCAACCUCCUUUUCCACCACGCAGAGGCAUCCUGCUGUCCUGAUCCAUCGCCGCUAUGCCGAGAUGUCGAUGCGUUGCGUGCAUCUGCCACUGCGUGCAGCGGUGCAUUUCUCGUGCCGGGGGCGACUAGUAUGAGAUCAGCAUAUUACAUGAGAUCGUGCGAUCCAGCUAUUUAGUCCACUGGAUUAAGAUCCUACGGUACAAAUAGGGAGAGGUGGAGGUACACAAGACAUUUUACAUGGAUCUCCUCCUCAUUGUGGAAAUAUUGCAAACCAAGACGAGAGCGGACGUCCUGAACGCAGUGGCAGCCGAUCGCAACUAUCCAACCGGUCGUCCAGGCGAGGUGAUCAGUGCACUAAAGUUCGUUGAAAUGAGGAAAGUGGACAUACAUUGGUGGAUACAUGUGAAUACCCUUGUCCUUGUGGGGUGCACAUCUGACGCAGAGGAGACCUGUCGCGCAGAGCGUGCAUUUUCUUUACUCCGCGAGUCCAGUGCUGCUUUCUUCAAGUUGUCUGCACGACGCAGUCUGGGGGGCCUGUACCCAUGUCCUGCGUCUCACAUCCAUUGCCUUUUCCGGUUGGGAGCAAAGACCACACUAAACCGGCAACAAAUUGGGCGCUCGAGGUUUGUCUGGAUCUAAUCAUGGCGAUCCCUGGAGCGACGACGCCGGCGUUGGCCUCUGGAUCGACGGGGGCGACAACCGAUUGAGUCAGUGGCGGAGCCAGCGCCCGGCGACCCUGGGCACUUGCCCGGGCUCGCUCGCUACGCGCUAGGUACGAUAACCCCGUUAUACUGGAAAAAAUCAUCAACGCCUCGUGCUUUACCCGGGCAGAUGGGCUGGUUGCGGUAGGGUAAUCAGGAGCGCUCGAACCAGCUCAUCACUCGACGCCGACGACCGGAGCGCCCAAAUCCAGGGUGUACUAUGACCGCAACAGUCUGGGUGCGCUGGCCGGCGAGGUGCAUGCAUGAUUUCCCAUCAGCGUGUUCUGCUUCUGCAUCUUUUGUUAUGCAAGGGUAAACUCGUGUUGAGCAGAACCAUGUUUUUGGCAUGUUGUUGUUGAAUUUCUUCCCUACUUUGUGUGGUCAAUUUGUGUGAUACCGACUAAUAUUUUGGAGCCUUUCUUGCAGAUUGUGCAUCUGCACAAAAUAAUUCUUGUUUCGCUGUAAAUGAUCAUGUUUCACUCCACUUGUUUUUGAAUCUAUGACAUUGUUCUAGUAUUAAUCUGGCUGCUGAUUAGCAAGCUGACUGAAUUUUCUGAUUUAUGGCAUUGUUAUUUUUCAGGAAGAAUUUACGAUGGUAGCAUGAACAUGUAGAGACCAAUUGGUAAUCGUGAAGAAUUUUUGUCUGUGAUCUCGUACAUAAAUUUCUCAAAGAAUGUAAAUAUGAGGACUGUAGCGACUUCCAUUUGUUUGUGGAAGUAGUGUCAUAUGGCAUUUUUGUAGACUACAUAAUCUCUUUCUUAAAAUGGUUUUGUGCACAAAGUAUAUCUUUACUAUUUCCACAAUUGUUUUGUACGCACAAUUUUUUACUGUACUCGCAUA